rnacentral:snoRNA from 11 species
UUGGAGGACCAAGAAAGUAGAACCAGUGAAGUCAUUUGGCUCUACUGAUACUAUCCUCCUAAAUUAAAUGGUAGAUGAACAAGGUCCUGUCUAUGACAUAUAGCAUAGCCUUACUACUAUCUGCCAACAAUA